rnacentral:lncRNA from 1 species
GAAUGCUGAGUUGAAAUUUCAUAAACACAAAUAAAACUUUGUGUGAAUAUGAACUUUAUUCAAAUCUUUUUUUACUGCAAUUUGUGAUCUGGGUGUCAUUUAUUUAUGUGAUUUAGUAUAUUUUCUGAUGUGGGUUUAUGUUAAUUGGCGUAUGUUCUUGUGGGGGAUUCAAUGUCUGAUCAUAAAACCCACACAAAAUCCAGAUUUAAAAGUUUGGUGUCCCCCUCAACAUUUUUAAACCUACUCAGCCAAAAAGAUUGUAAGUAAAUCAUGUGCUUAUAUGGACUGACCCAUUUCAAUAUUAUUUUAAAGAGUCAUUGCCAAGACUAUGUUUCUCCAACUAAUAUGCAUGGUGACAGCUAAUGAAUGGUUUUAAAUAAGCUUAUACAAUGUUUUUCUUGUCACAAAUGGAGAAGAAAUGUAGUAAAAAAUCGGAAAAGUGAGAAGCGAGCGUCUAAGUUUUACGCAUCCUAAGUCAAGAGACACUAAUAUUUUAACGAAC